UACGUAGGGGGCAAGCGUUGUCCGGAAUCAUUGGGCGUAAAGAGCGUGUAGGCGGUCCGAUAAGUCCGCUCUGAAAGCCCGGGGCUCAACCCCGGGAGGCGGGCGGAUACUGUCGGGCUAGAGUCCGGAAGAGGCGAGUGGAAUUCCUGGUGUAGCGGUGAAAUGCGCAGAUAUCAGGAGGAACACCGAUGGCGAAGGCAGCUUGCUGGGACGGUACUGACGCUGAGACGCGAAAGCGUGGGGAGCAAACAGG
rnacentral:rRNA from 1 species